AACGAACGCUGGCGGCAGGCUUAACACAUGCAAGUCGAACGCCCCGCAAGGGGAGUGGCAGACGGGUGAGUAACGCGUGGGAACGUACCUUUCAGUUCGGAAUAACUCAGGGAAGCUUGUGCUAAUACCGGAUACGCUCGUAAGAGGAAAGAUUUAUCGCUGAAAGAUCGGCCCGCGUUGGAUUAGCUAGUUGGUGGGGUAAUGGCCUACCAAGGCGACGAUCCAUAGCUGGUCUGAGAGGAUGAUCAGCCACACUGGGACGGAGACACGGCCCAGACUCCUACGGGAGGCAGCAGUGGGGAAUAUUGGACAAUGGGCGAAAGCCUGAUCCAGCCAUGCCGCGUGAGUGAUGAAGGCCCUAGGGUUGUAAAGCUCUUUCACCGAUGAAGAUAAUGACGGUAGUCGGAGAAGAAGCCCCGGCUAACUUCGUGCCAGCCGCCGCGGUAA
rnacentral:rRNA from 1 species